GAUGAACGCUGGCGGCGUGCCUAAUACAUGCAAGUCGAACGAAAAGGCCCGGAGCUUGCGCGUCUGACGUUUGGCGCGGGGGGGAGUGUCACGCGUGUAUAACCUAACUCUCAGACUGGGAUAAUCUCGGGAAACCGGAUCUUAUACCCGAUAAUAUAUUGCACCACAUUGGGCACUAGUUAGAUUCGGCUUUUCGGUCACUACUAGCGGGAUCCGCGCCGCAUUAGCUAGUUGGUGAGGUAACGGCUUACCAAGGCGACGACGCGUAGGCGAGCUGAGAGGGUGAUCGGCCACACUGGAACUGAGACACGGUCCAGACUCCUACGGGAGGCAGCAGUAGGGAAUCUUCCGCAAUGGGCGAGAGCUUGACGGAGCAACGCCGCGUGAGUGAUGAAGGUCUUCGGAUCGUAAAGCUCUGUUAUUAGGGAAGAACAAAUGUGUAAGUAACCAUGCACGUCUUGACGGUACCUAAUCAGAAAGCCACGGCUAACUACGUG
rnacentral:rRNA from 1 species